AUUGUUUUAAGUUAAUAAAACUAUGAGCCUUCAAAGCUUAAAAUAAAAAUAUGAGUAUUUUAAACUUUA
rnacentral:tRNA from 1 species